rnacentral:misc_RNA from 1 species
CAACCCUCAAGCCUGGCUUGGUGUUGGGGCACUGCUCCGAGAGGAGCAGGCCCUGAAAUCUAGUGGCGAGCUCGCUAGGACCCCGAGCGUAGUAGUUAUAUCUCGUUCUGGAAGGCCCUGGCGGUGCCCUGCCGUUAAACCCCCAACUUCUGAAA